rnacentral:rRNA from 1 species
AUUGAACGCUGGCGGCAGGCCUAACACAUGCAAGUCGAGCGGAUGAAGGGAGCUUGCUUCUGGAUUCAGCGGCGGACGGGUGAGUAAUGCCCAGGAAUCUGCCUGGUAGUGGGGGAUAAUGUCCGGAAACGGGCGCUAAUACCGCACACGGCCUGAGGGAGAAAGAGGGGGAUCUUCGGACCUCAUGCUAUUAGGGGAGCCUAGGUGGGGUUAGAUAGUUGGUGGGGUAAGGGGCUACUAAGGCGACGAUCCGUACCUGGCCUGAGAGGAUGAUCGGUCACAUUGGAACUGAGACACGGUCCAGACUCCUACGGGAGGCAGCAGUGGGGAAUGUUGGACAAUGGGCGAAAGCCUGGUCCAGCCAUGCCGCGUGUGUGAAGAAGGUCUUCGGAUUGUAAAGCACUUUAAGUUGGGAGGAAGGGCAGUAAGUUGAUACCUUGCUGUUUUGACGUUACCGACAGAAUAAGCACCGGCUAACUUCGUG